rnacentral:rRNA from 1 species
GAGUUUGAUCCUGGCUCAGGAUGAACGCUAGCUACAGGCUUAACACAUGCAAGUCGAGGGGAAACGGCAUUGAGUGCUUGCACUCUUUGGACGUCGACCGGCGCACGGGUGAGUAACGCGUAUCCAACCUUCCCAUUACUGUGGGAUAACCUGCCGAAAGGCAGACUAAUACCGCAUAGUCUUCGAUGACGGCAUCAGAUUUGAAGUAAAGAUUUAUCGGUAAUGGAUGGGGAUGCGUCUGAUUAGCUUGUUGGCGGGGUAACGGCCCACCAAGGCGACGAUCAGUAGGGGUUCUGAGAGGAAGGUCCCCCACAUUGGAACUGAGACACGGUCCAAACUCCUACGGGAGGCAGCAGUGAGGAAUAUUGGUCAAUGGACGGAAGUCUGAACCAGCCAAGUAGCGUGCAGGAUGACGGCCCUAUGGGUUGUAAACUGCUUUUGUAUGGGGAUAAAGUUAGGGACGUGUCCCUAUUUGCAGGUACCAUACGAAUAAGGACCGGCUAAUUCCGUGCCAGCAGCCGCGGUAAU